AUUGAACGCUGGCGGCAUGCCUUACACAUGCAAGUCGAACGGUAACGGGUCCUUCGGGAUGCCGACGAGUGGCGAACGGGUGAGUAAUAUAUCGGAACGUGCCCAGUAGUGGGGGAUAACUGCUCGAAAGAGCAGCUAAUACCGCAUACGACCUGAGGGUGAAAGGGGGGGAUCGCAAGACCCCUCGCUAUUGGAGCGGCCGAUAUCAGAUUAGCUAGUUGGUGGGGUAAAGGCCUACCAAGGCAACGAUCUGUAGUUGGUCUGAGAGGACGACCAGGCACACUGGGACUGAGACACGGCCCAGACUCCUACGGGAGGCAGCAGUGGGGAAUUUUGGACAAUGGGCUAAAGCCUGAUCCAGCAAUGCCGCGUGCAGGAAGAAGGCCUUCGGGUUGUAAACUGCUUUUGUCAGGGAAGAAAUCUUCUGGGCUAAUACCCCGGGAGGAUGACGGUACCUGAAGAAUAAGCACCGGCUAACUACGUGCCAGCCGCCGCGGUAA
rnacentral:rRNA from 1 species